rnacentral:rRNA from 1 species
UACGGAGGGUGCGAGCGUUGUCCGGAAUCAUUGGGCGUAAAGGGCGCGUAGGUGGCGGGACAAGCGUGCGGUGAAAGCUCGGGGCUCAACCCCGAGUCGGCCGUGCGAACUGUUUUGCUGGAGCACUGUAGAGGCAGGCGGAAUUCCGGGUGUAGCGGUGGAAUGCGUAGAUAUCUGGAGGAACACCGGUGGCGAAGGCGGCAUUCUGGACCGACAUUGACGCUGAGGAGCGAAAGCCAGGGGAGCAAACGGG